rnacentral:rRNA from 1 species
UUUCCUCCCGAGUGCUUGCACUCAAUUGGAAAGAGGAGUGGCGGACGGGUGAGUAACACGUGGGUAACCUACCCAUCAGAGGGGGAUAACACUUGGAAACAGGUGCUAAUACCGCAUAACAGUUUAUGCCGCAUGGCAUAAGAGUGAAAGGCGCUUUCGGGUGUCGCUGAUGGAUGGACCCGCGGUGCAUUAGCUAGUUGGUGAGGUAACGGCUCACCAAGGCCACGAUGCAUAGCCGACCUGAGAGGGUGAUCGGCCACACUGGGACUGAGACACGGCCCAGACUCCUACGGGAGGCAGCAGUAGGGAAUCUUCGGCAAUGGACGAAAGUCUGACCGAGCAACGCCGCGUGAGUGAAGAAGGUUUUCGGAUCGUAAAACUCUGUUGUUAGAGAAGAACAAGGACGUUAGUAACUGAACGUCCCCUGACGGUAUCUAACCAGAAAGCCACGGCUAACUACGUGCCAGCAGCCGCGGUAAUACGUAGGUGGCAAGCGUUGUCCGGAUUUAUUGGGCGUAAAGCGAGCGCAGGCGGUUUCUUAAGUCUGAUGUGAAAGCCCCCGGCUCAACCGGGGAGGGUCAUUGGAAACUGGGAGACUUGAGUGCAGAAGAGGAGAGUGGAAUUCCAUGUGUAGCGGUGAAAUGCGUAGAUAUAUGGAGGAACACCAGUGGCGAAGGCGGCUCU